rnacentral:rRNA from 1 species
UACGGGGGGGGCAAGCGUUGUUCGGAAUUACUGGGCGUAAAGGGUUAGUAGGUGGCCAACUAAGUCAGACGCGAAAUCCCUCAGCUUAACUGGGGAACUGCGUCUGAGACUGAUUGGCUCGAGGACAGGAGAGGAACGCGGAAUUCCAGGUGUAGCGGUGAAAUUCGUAGAUAUUGGGAAGAACACCCGUGGCGAAGGCGGCCAUCUGGACCGGUACUGACGCUAAGGCGCGACAGCGUGGGGAGCAAACAGG